UCCGCGCUGAUUGGUUGCACCGCCUCGAGAGGGGGAGGGGCGGAGCCUAAGCGUUCUGCGUGUGUACGGCGGGCGGGACGGACGGACGGACGGACGGAGUCGCUGGGAGGAACUGUUGUCCCCCUGGAGGCAGUAGGGAGGCGCUGGAAGUGUAUGUAAGAUGACCCUUCCCAGGAACGCAUGCUCUGUAUAUAGGUGUAUAUAUGUAUAUUUUGUCAUACACGCUGCAAGAAUAUCUUGCACGAGAUCAAACCAGAGAACAAGUGAUGGCAUGCCCGAGGAAGCGCCUGAAGGGACAUCAGAAGGCCUGGCAUCAUCUCCCCCUCCCCCCCGUUGCUCCUUGUUUAACGAAGACUUGGAAGCAAAUCACCAUAUCAAUACGACAGGAAGAGCGCUGAGACAUCUUUGAAACAACGGGAUGGCUGCUGACUGACACCAGAUAACAAACAAAUUAACAAGUAAUUAACCAAUGUAAAAACGUUCUGAUAAGAUUGUGACCCUGGAGUACCCAGCCAGUGGGAAAACAGGGCAGAGGGGGGAGGCAAGGGGAGGAAACAGGGUAUAAAGACUGCCAUGUUGUGUCCAUAGGUGCUUCUGCUUGUGGGAUGCCCGCCAUUGCAAUGGCGAAUAAAAACUGCUUUUAUCAGAGA